UGCGGGAUAGUUUAACGGUAGAACCGGCGACUCUGAAUCGUCUAGUCCAGGUUCGAAUCCUGGUCCCGCAGUCA
rnacentral:tRNA from 1 species